GACGAACCGUGCGAACGUUAUUCGGAAUCACUGGGCUUAAAGCGCGUGUAGGCGGGCCGGCACGUCGGUCGCUGAAAUCCCCCGGCUCAACCGGGGAAGGGGCGCCGAUACGGCCGGCCUGGAGGGACGUAGGGGGGGCUGGAACUUCCGGUGGAGCGGUGAAAUGCGUUGAGAUCGGAAGGAACGCCCGUGGCGAAAGCGAGCCCCUGGACGUCUACUGACGCUGAGACGCGAAAGCCAGGGGAGCGAACGGG
rnacentral:rRNA from 1 species